rnacentral:rRNA from 1 species
AUGGUGAACGGCGCAGAGGCUGUGCUGCCCUGUGAUAUUAUUCAUGACUCACCUCAAGUGCGCAUGUACGAAGGGAGAAAGGUCGAGCUUGAUCGGCCCGACAGUUUAGGUGCCCUGGAAAAGGAGCGCGAUGUUGCAAAAGCCUGUUCCGCAUUCUAUCAACAACAGGCUCGCAGGUAUCAAAGCAGAGAAGUACAGGCCAAAACUUAUAAUAUUGGCAAACUCGUUCUACGUCUACCGAAAAAGAAAAAGGACAAACUUAAGUCCAAAUGGGAGGGUCCCUUCAUUAUUGACAAAGUUCUCACCGGAGGAGCGUACCGGCUGUGUGAUGCAUCUGAUAAUCGCCUCGAGCCGAACCCAUGGAACGCGGCCAGACUCCGAAGAUUCUACGCCUAG